GUGGGGAAUUUUGGACAAUGGGCGCAAGCCUGAUCCAGCAAUGCCGCGUGCAGGAAGAAGGCCUUCGGGUUGUAAACUGCUUUUGUACGGAACGAAACGGUCCGGGUUAAUACCCUGGGCUAAUGACGGUACCGUAAGAAUAAGCACCGGCUAACUACGUGCCAGCAGCCGCGGUAAUACGUAGGGUGCAAGCGUUAAUCGGAAUUACUGGGCGUAAAGCGUGCGCAGGCGGUUUUGUAAGACAGGCGUGAAAUCCCCGGGCUCAACCUGGGAAUUGCGCUUGUGACUGCAAGGCUGGAGUGCGGCAGAGGGGGAUGGAAUUCCGCGUGUAGCAGUGAAAUGCGUAGAGAUGCGGAGGAACACCGAUGGCGAAGGCAGCCUCCUGGGAUGACACUGACGCUCAUGCACGAAAGCGUGGGGAGCAAACAGGAUUAGAAACCCGAGUAGUC
rnacentral:rRNA from 1 species